GGUUCCAUGGUCUAGUUGGUUUAUGACUUCUGUCUAACACUUACGUGGUUCACAGGCGGUCCCCGGUUCGAGCCCGGGUGGAAUCA